rnacentral:rRNA from 1 species
CCCUUAGAUGUUCUGGGCCGCACACGCGCUACACUGAAGGAGGCAGCGUGUACUCCUGGAUCGAAAGAUUUGGGUAACCCGCGAAUCUCCUUCGUGCUAGGGAUUGAGGUUUGCAAUUAUCCUUCAUGAACGAGGAAUUCCCAGUAAGUGCAAGUCAUAAGCUUGCGCUGACUACGUCCCUGCCCUUUGUACACACCGCCCGUCGCUACUACCGAUUGAAUGAUUCAGUGAGGACUUCGGACUGGGACCGAUGCGGCUUUCGGGCUGCGUCGGUAUUCUGGAAAGAUGUCCAAACUGUAUCAUUUAGAGGAAGUAAAAGUCGUANCA